rnacentral:lncRNA from 1 species
UGGGAUGUAAUUAGUGAGUCACCAGGUGAAGGUGUUACAGAAGGGAGAGCAAAAACCUAUAAAAACAGGACUCACAGGCUGCCUGGGUUUGGGAGGAGGUGAGAAGAUGCGCCCUAGGAAGCUGCAUGGCCUGAUUUGAGGUCUUGCGAAGGACAGCAAGGCCUGCACCACGGACCCAGGCAGAUUUCCCUCGCGGGGUGAGCGGAUCCAGUUUCAUUGCUAAUGGGUUUCCCAGGAUUUGCAGAUGUGAAUUGCUCGCAUUCCUGACUCCAAGGGAAGCAGCAGCUUUUGCAAGUGAGAGUCAAACCCUGACCUGCCCCUCGGGCUCUUGGUCAGGGGUCCAAGGAAAAGCAGACGUGGCUUCAAACCGCCCUCCUCAAACUCACUCUGCUCAGACUGCAGGACUAUUUAACACACUUCAGCUUCUUAUAAAGUUUCUGUCAAGAAGGAUUAGCAGUGGGCUGACAGAUUGCUAUUACAGCCCUAGUGAACUUUUAAUACCUGCCAGUAAAUUCUGCCAGUCCCUUAAAUCCUCUUGCAGGCACUCGGUUUGGGGAGCAAAGGCUGCUGCUUGCAGUGCCGGUAUGGAGGGUGGUGCCUCUGCCUCUCUCCAAGCUGUCAGUGUGAAGAAAUGACCUCCGGGGAUUCCGAUAUUGUCCUCCACAGGGUCUCAAAAGAGCCUAUGUGUAGGUGAAUUCACCUCUCUGUAGGUGAAUUUUGUCCCCUUUCCCCAUGGGGUGAGGCACUGAUGGUGGAGCUGGAGGUCCCCAGGGUGCAGGAGGAACCUGAACCUCCAAGGGAGGCAUCUGGGUUUGGGCAGAGGUUGGGGUGGUUGGAGGCACCCUUGGGGGCCGCUGUCCAUGCGGUCUGAUGGCUAGGAUUAGAGCAUCGCUUAGAGGUGAGACCUGCCAUCAGUUAUCCCUCAGGCAGGCUUGGGGUGCUCGAGGGAUGCUGUGG